rnacentral:rRNA from 1 species
UACGUAGGGUGCAAGCGUUGUCCGGAAUUAUUGGGCGUAAAGAGCUCGUAGGCGGUUUGUCGCGUCGAAUGUGAAAACCCGGGGCUCAACCCCGGGCCUGCAUUCGAUACGGGCAGACUAGAGUUCGGUAGGGGAGUCUGGAAUUCCUGGUGUAGCGGUGAAAUGCGCAGAUAUCAGGAGGAAUACCGGUGGCGAAGGCGGGACUCUGGGCCGAUACUGACGCUGAGGAGCGAAAGCGUGGGGAGCGAACAGG